rnacentral:tRNA from 1 species
GCGGAAUAGCUCAGUUGGUAGAGCAUAACCUUGCCAAGGUUGGGGUCGCGAGUUCGAGUCUCGUUUCCCGCUCCA